AAACUAACAAGGAUUCCCCUAGUAGCGGCGAGCGAAGCGGGAAGAGCUCAAAUUUGUAAUCUGGUACCUUCGGUGCCCGAGUUGUAAUCUCGAGAAGUGUUUUCCGUGCCAGACCGCAUACAAGUCUGUUGGAAUACAGCGUCAUAGUGGUGAGAACCCCGUAGAUGAUGCGGAUGCCUGGUGCUCUGUGAUACACUUUCGAAGAGUCGAGUUGUUUGGGAAUGCAGCUCAAAUUGGGUGGUAAAUUCCAUCUAAAGCUAAAUAUUGGCGAGAGACCGAUAGCGAACAAGUACCGUGAGGGAAAGAUGAAAAGCACUUUGGAAAGAGAGUUAACAGUACGUGAAAUUGUUGGAAGGGAAACGCUUGAAGUCAGACUUGCUAUUUGGAGUUCAGCCUCACGGUGUAUUCUUCAAUUUGCAGGCCAGCAUCAGUUUUUGGGGGUAGAAAAGGGUUUGAGGAACGUGGCAACUCCGGUUGUGUUAUAGCCUCUUACUGGAUCUAUCCCUGGGGACUGAGGAACGCAGUGCACUUUUUGCAAGUCUCUCGGGACUUUUUGCACUUAGGAUGCUGGUGGAAUGGCUUUAAACGAC
rnacentral:rRNA from 1 species